GUUUUAGAUAUUCUAAGGUUGAUUCCCUUGGAGAGCGCGUGCGCCUAAAAUA
rnacentral:tRNA from 1 species